UGCCCACCUCUGCCUCCCAAAGUGCUGGGAUUACAGGUGUGAGCCACCGCACCCAGUCAGCUCACUUAAUUUUCAUGGAAUACAGUGGGCAUUAUGAUCCCAAUUUUACAAGUGAGAAAACUGAGAAGGAGAGAGGUCCCCAAAGUUGCCUAAAGUCACACAGUAAGUGGUAGAGUCAGGAUUCCAGCUGAAGUCUGCUUCCAAAUCCCACCUUCUAACCGCUGCCACUAGACUGCUGUGUCUGCUGGGGUGUUAGGUCACAGGAGAAAAGAGAUAAUGGCUUUGUGACCCGGGAGCUCCGCCUUCACCUCCUCCUGCCAUCCUCAGCAUGAGCCAGCUGCAUGAGGGGUGCUGUGUGCUGGGCUGGAGGAUGGAGCCAUGUGCCACUCCCUCCGAGGCACGCUGUGAAGGUGCAAGUGGUGUGUUCUGAGAGUGCGGAGGAUGAAAACUUCUCACCCAGCUUUCUACAUUCAAGUUUACAAGUGCUGCUCAGGACCCACUGAUUAUUUCCAGGGGAAGAUCACCAAACCGCCUAAGGCCGAGACUCCCAGGAUAGCGCAGCAUGCCCCGGAGUCCCCCAGCUCGAUUUGCUCAGAACUCAGAAAGAAAACAGCCCACACUCCUUGAACUUCAGGCACUGAUGGAGGCAUUUUCCAAAGAACAGUGACAAGGACGGCCAGCACCUCUCUUGCAUUCCUCAGUCUGACUCAAGCUGCUCUUCCACCCUCCUCCCCAGCUGGAGCUGAGGCUGAAGGCAGUUGAGGGCCACCAGGGAGAAGAGCUGGGUCAGGGCCGUGACUUGCCAGCAAGCAUGAGGCCAAGCAGAUGUGCCGGAACAGCUGUGGUGACAGAGCUGUGGCCAACUGCUCCCUGGGCCGAGGGUGAAGGAAGCUGUGCUCCCACUGGUGCUAGGGAAGGCUGCUGCAGGGCUGGAGGCCUGGGUGCUGGACUGCUGGGGCAGGCUGCCUGCUGUACCCCCAAGCUGCAGUCAGGGCUCGCCCUGAGGCCCUGAGGUGGAGAGAGAGCAGCUGUCUCGUACACACCCAUGUGCACAAGUGCAGGCACACACACACACACACACACACACACAAAAGACGUUCUCACUUCAUCCCCGAAUUCUCCCUCCUACACACAAAGCUAGUUCCCAGUUCUCCAGUCCCCCUCCAUCCCUCUCCACUUCUGUAGUCUCUGCUGGGCUGCACUGGGGAUCUGGUCCCAAUUCCCCUCUCUUCCCUUGCUGCCCCUGUAACAAAGGGCUGGCCAUGUGACAUGAUCUCCUCAGGCUUCAGAGAAGUGAUUUUACCCUGAGCUACACAGGCAGGAAGACCACCAGCCUGGAAGGCAGGACGUACGAAUGAUGUUAUUUCUGGCAAGGAGGACACGGCUGCUGUGGUUGAUUGGCUGUGGAAUUCCAGGGGAGCAAGGCACUAGGAAGUGGGGAACGCUGCCAGGCCCAGCAGCUCAUCAGGAGCUUGCACUUGGCCCAGUUAGGGCUGGCCGUGGGACGGGCUUGUUGAAGCUGCUGCCGCCAUAAGCUGCCCCUCUGCACCAGGAGACAGAUCCCAUUACCCCACCUACAGCUGCUUCCUGGUACAAGAGAAGAGUUACCAUUUGAAAUGACUCCACAGGAGAGUCUGACAAACAUGUUUGCUUUUCACUGACAAUUAAAAUUGUUUUGCUGCUAAUCUUGUUUUAUUGUGGUCUUUCAUCCAUCAGCAAGCAUCCCUGCACGCAAGAUCAGAGUUGGGUAAAUACAUCCAGACCCUGCCAGGAUUAGGGCAAGAGGGAGUGCUCUGGGCCGGCAGAUCUUUUUCGGAAAUUCUCACUUCUUGGAGCACUAAAGGGUUGUUAGUCUAUCUGGGCAAGCCUCGUUUCCCUGGAGAAAAUGGAGUCUCAGAGAUUAGUGACUGGUCCUAGAGCUAAUGAGUGACCAAAGUGUGACCAGAGCCCAGGUCUGCUUCUCAACCCAGGGCACUUUGAUUCCAGAUUGAGAUGUAAGGUGACAGGUGCCUUAAUAGUGGCGCAAAAGAUGUGCAUUCCCCUCUUCCUCCCUCCCCGCUCCCUGCUCCCCCAGCGGCACCCUGACCUUCCUCAAAUGCAGAAUCAAGAUUUCAGCAGGGGGGCCAGCCCUUUCCCUGCCCCACCCUCCUCGAAUUCAGUGACUCAGGAGUGGGAAGGGGGUUAGCUAUGCCCUUAGAAGGGGGCCAGCUUCUGCAGAGGCCACUGGAAAACUCAUCAGGAUUCUCACUCACAAAGCCACUGCCACAUUCUAAGUAGGAAGUCGGAGUUGGAAAUGAGGCUGGUGUGAGACACAAUAAAUGGCUCAUCGCCAGGAAACUGGGGAGUAGGGCGGCCAAGGGAGGGCGGCGAGCGUGGAAUCCCAAGGCUAAGUCACGUCCCUCCCAUCCUCAGGACUGGGCUGUUGCUCUGGUGAGAUGAAUGAAGAUCCUGCUCCACGGCGUCACAGGUGGAUGCUUACAUAGAAUGCCGGGCUCUGGGGGACUUGACGUGGUUUCAGCCGCUGCAGCAUCGCCCCACAGAGAUUCUGUGCUCUUCCUGUUCACCAGCCCGCUGUCUGCCAUGGGGAUUGGUCACGUGUUAACCACCUUUCGUUCAAGCUGUUUCGGGAUCAGACUUUUCCUUCUCUGGUACAUGGGAGACCUUUCCUCUCUGCAGCUCCUGAAUGUACAAAGCCCCUGGUGCCUACCCGUGGUUACUGUGUGUGUGUGUGUGUGUGUGUGUGUGUGUGUGUGUCUGUGCGCGCGCGCGCGCGUGCGUACACCUGGGAACGGUUAUGCACACCCUCACAGGACUGCAUCCACACAAGCUACUCGGCGUGGUGGGCUGGGCCGAGAGACAGUCAGCUGGUCUCUUUGCUAAGCUACCAGAAGUCGGCUAACAAAAUGAAAAAACUUCUCCAGCAGGGGGCGCUGGUUCCUAAGUCAGAGAAAGGAUUUCGGGGAACACAAGGCACGGAUGCUUCAUCUCCCGAGGACCCGGGAGGCCUCCUGAGCCUUUGCUGAGCUUUCCCUGGUGCUCCUUUUUGCAGUCCAGCGAAUCCAGGGGACUGGGGCACACUGCAAGGGGUUGUGGUGGUGCUGGGGCUGCCAGAGGAGUGUCCCAACCAAGAAACUGGCGAAGCUGCAGACUCGACCUAGCAGUCCCCCACCUCUGGCCCACAGAGUUGGAGCCAGGCCCUGUCUUGGUUCUCAAUGCACUCAAAAGCUUAAAUCCUAGUAAACCCUCCACUGCGGAGCGAGAAAAGCCAAA